CGGAAUGCAAAUCGCUUGCUUAGAAGCUUGCUUAUAGCCAAAGCAGCAUAGGAUAUGUGUGGACAGUCGGAAUACUUAUGCUUUAGCUAAAUAUUCAGCAAAUUCACUUUUAAUCCUACCCAGAGGUCACGAGUAUUACAUCUUCCCAGGAGACCUCUAGGUGUGAAGGCCCAAUUUAAGAACAAUGGCAGGCGAUUGUGCGUGACAUAAAUUUUACUGACUCUACUGGCCAUCUCAGCCCUGCCGUCCUGAUCUCUGGUGCCCUGGCGGACAGAAACCCCUCACUGGAUUUAUCCGGCCUCCUGAGAAGGAGCAUGUUAAUCAAAUUUACUCCUAGCCUGUUCUUCAAACUUGUCAUCUACAUUCAUUCUCAUUACCCUCCCUGACUCUUCUGAGUCAUCUCACCUGAAGGUCCGAGAGCUCCGUCUGAGGCGCUGUGGUCAACCACGUAGACAGAUCAUGUUUGUAUUCUUUCCUGAUCUCAUGAAAGUAGGAUUGUGACUCAGUGACAUUCUCCAGAGAGCUAAGCUUUUAUUCCUGUGUCCAGGCAAGGAGUCCGUCACACAAACAGUGAGGGGUUGCUAAGCAAUGGAAUACACACCACAUUAGUAGUAGCCGUGGUGGCGUGUGCUCCCAGGGCCAGGAUAUAUGGGGGAUUCCAAGCUAACGUCCUGGGGACACAGGUGAUUGCCCCCCUUCAAGCUCCAGCGCAAGUCCCCACAUCAAAGAGAUCUUUAACCUUGACACAUCUUGUCAUUUCUCUUCGUGCUGCCAAAUGCAAUUUGUUUUCUCCCCACGUCUCCAGUUGCAAUCAGCACCUACUUACCCCAGUAAGGUUCCUUUACUUACUCCAUCAUACUGACAUUUAAUUUAUUAUCUCUCCCCAAAUUCCAAUAUGUUAAACACUUUGUUUCUAUUCUGAGUCGCUCAGAGGAGACUCUCAUGACCUGCCAAAGGCUCCGUCAGUUGCCAAGUGCUGCUGAGGUGGCCCCCAGCUAUAUUACGUCUGAUUAGAGCCAGGUUUCUGAUGUGUCUGGUUCUGACCAGUUGGAACUCUGUUUCGGGCCAAGUUGGAAGGAUCAGACUUCCCAUACAAACAGUGUAGUCACUAAUCCAUAUACCCUUUCCCUGCCUUCAUCGAGGAGAAUACAGCAGAUGUUCCCCCACAAUAUUUUUCAGCUGCGUUAUGUGCCACGAAACCCACUUAAUCUUGGAGAAAUGACAAUGUGCAAAAAAAAUCACCAAGCUGUCGUCUUGCUUCAGAGUUAGGGGUUUCGGCUGCCAGGUACGUAAUAUUAAC
rnacentral:lncRNA from 1 species